GAUGAACGCUGGCGGCGUGCCUAAUACAUGCAAGUCGAGCGAACGGACGAGAAGCUUGCUUCUCUGAUGUUAGCGGCGGACGGGUGAGUAACACGUGGCUAACCUACCUAUAAGAAUGGGAUAACUUCGGGAAACCGGAGCUAAUACCGGAUAAUAUUUUGAACCGCAUGGUUCAAAAGUGAAAGACGGUCUUGCUGUCACUUAUAGAUGGAUCCGCGCUGCAUUAGCUAGUUGGUAAGGUAACGGCUUACCAAGGCAACGAUGCAUAGCCGACCUGAGAGGGUGAUCGGCCACACUGGAACUGAGACACGGUCCAGACUCCUACGGGAGGCAGCAGUAGGGAAUCUUCCGCAAUGGGCGAAAGCCUGACGGAGCAACGCCGCGUGAGUGAUGAAGGUCUUCGGAUCGUAAAACUCUGUUAGUAGGGAAGAACAUAUGUGUAAGUAACUGUGCACAUCUUGACGGUACCUAAUCAGAAAGCCACGGCUAACUACGUG
rnacentral:rRNA from 1 species